UUUGCUAACCUCCAUUAAAAUAACCAAAGAAGAAGACGAACACUGUGUGUGAUUUCGAAUUCUGGUGGAGGCAAAUAGCAUAAAAUGAGACCACACUUUCGUAACUUUUGAAGCAUGUACCCGACAUUUGUCCUUAGAUGACCAGGAUUCUAUACAGACUGUUCUAACCAGGUUGGAGAUCAUGGCGACGAGCGUUCGCUGGAGCAGAGGGCGACUGCUUCAAACUGAAGUGGUUGAUGAAAUGCUUUUGCUCAGCGAGUUAAUUCGGGAAGCCAACGAUCAGCAACAACAACGUGUUGCUCCUGGUUUCACCGUACCUCGAAUGGGAGGACAGACUGGAGGAAGGCCGGUUUACCAAAUCGCCCAAGAGCAGUUGCAGAUGUUGUUGUCCUAACUUCUCUGCUAAACAGAUUGUGGAGAUCUUGGGUGUCUCAAGAAGAACGGUGAACCGACGGUUAAGACAGUACAUACAAUUUCUCUUUUAGAGGUCGCUACACAGACCAGAUGAUGCACUUGAUCUGAAGGUGCUGCUAUUCGGAGUAUGUCCCACAGGCUUCGGAGGAGAACAUAUCGAGUGGCAGGGUCAAAUUCGCUGUGGCAUCUUGAUGGCAACCACAAGCUCAUAAAGUGGAGGAUUGUAAUCCAUGGAGGAAUCGAUGGGUUCAGCCGACUGGUGGUUUUCCUGAAGGCUUCUAACAACAAUAGAAGUGACAUUGUAAUGGACCUGUUUUCGGAAGCAGUCGCCCAGUUUGGUGUCCCAUCCAGAGUCAGAUGUGACUAUGGAGGGGAAAACAACGCCAUUUGUCUCUUCAUGGAUGUCUUCCGAGGAUCAACCCGAGGGAGCACUCAUAAUCAACGCAUUGAAAGACUGUGGGGCGAUGUCUGGAGAGGCGUGACAAAAAAAACGCAAGGUCCUACCUAUUGUGGUCAGGUCUGUUGAGUUUAUCAUCGACAGGAAGUUCCCAGCCCUACAGGACACCUACCACACACGAUGCCUCAGGAAAGCUGGCAGGAUUCUAAGACUGCUACCACCCAUCUUUCAGUCUCUACCCCGCUGCCUUCUGAACAACAGUUUCUAUCCAAGGGCCAGCAGGCUUCUGAAUCAACAUUUACAUGGACAUUUCUCACUAGCCACCUUACAGUGAUGCAUUUCUCACUAGUCACCUUACACACUGUCACUUUCAGCUACUGGUUGCACUAUCAGCAAUAUUACACUAACUGUACCCCACUUGUCUUAGGUUAGUAUAGGUCUAAGGUUAGUAUAGGUCAUUAUCUGUAUUAGAGGUCUAAUAUAUUGUAUACUAUUUUGUAUAUUUAGGAGGUUUAUAAUUUAUUAUCAUUUUUCUUUUAGCUUAUCAUAGAUGUAAUCUAAGUACUUAUUAUGUUAUGCCAGGUUGCUUUGCAUUGUCUUGUCCCAAAAAUGUCAGUGCCCAGUCUGACGUGUUCUGUGUACCUGACAAUAAGACUUGAAACGGAGGUCUACCACUCCUUGUUUACAUAUCUAUAUAGAAAAUGAAGGAAUCAUUAUUGCAACAACGAAAGGCAUCUUUGAGCUCUUCACUUCGUUUACCUGGCUCGUAUAAAACGUGACCUGAGGACUGCCAGAUACACAUGUCACCAUAUCAUUUUUGUGCAAGGCUGUCUGACACAACAGUUGCAACAUCACACUGGUAUCCAAGGUAUAUUUGGAGCAGCCAGUUCCAGUGGGUGGCUGACCAGGGGGUGGCUGCACUUGCCUUUGACUGGCUACAAAGAGUUGUGGUUCCCCUAAACCAAUUUCAACCAAGUGACGAACAGUUGGAACACCUCAGGCAACACACAAAUCCUUUGGGUGGAGAUAGAGACAGUUUGGGAACUGAUCAGGUCCUCAAUGUCCGGUCUUAAAUACAGUGCACACACAUAAUUGGGUGUGCUUUGCCUUCGGCAAGGGCGCAACCUUUGUUAUCUCACAUAUAUA